GGCUGGGAAGCGGCGCCCGCGCAGAGCGAGGCGUUGGCCGGGCCGGGCCUGAAGCGCUCGGGGCCGCCGGGCAGGGCAGUGGCCGGCUGCUGGGUGCCCCGCAGAGAGAAGAGCCCGGCCCUGGGAAGGCAGCAGCCUGGGCUCGAGCUGCUCUGGACCGCUGUGGGGAUGGGUUUGAAGUUUUGGGAUCGCUUCUUUCUGUCCCUACCUUCCCACUGAAAACAAUAACUUCAGAAGUCCUCGUCUGGACUGGUCCAGAGAAAUUGUGGAGUCUCCAUCCCCGGAGAUGCUUAAAACGCUUUUGCUCAGGCAAAGUCGUGAGCAACCCGUUCUACCUAAUCCCGCUUUUUGAGCAGCAGAGAUUGGACUAGAUGAUCUCCAGAGGUCAUAUUUAUCUGCCUGUCAGGACUGUUGGAGCGCUGGAUGGAGAGCAGGUCAUAUGAAGAGGAUUACGGAGUAAAAGGCAGCUUGUACUGAAGUGCAGGGAAAGUAUAAAUAUUUAUAUAUAUUGGCACAGUGCCUAGCCUUAAUGCUUAAAAUCCUUUGGAGAGCUGUCUGCAUAUUUACUGUAUUAAUGAUCAAAUGCAAGGCUGUGUUGGGAAAGGUCUUCCAUUUGGAAGUCAGUAGUUGAGACUGUCUUGCCUAUGAAAAAGAGGGAGAAUUUUCAUUAGAGGAUGUAGGAUUCUGGCUGGUAAUAGUCUUAGUUCGAGGUAUUUUUAGAGAAUUGAUUUAACGCAAGCAGAACAAAUGGCCAGAAGUGUAAUGAGAGACAAGUUGAAAUUAGAGAGUAGAUGUGCAUUUUGAAUGUAUUAUCAUAGCAACUGAUUAAAUUCUCCCUCUCUUGCUGUUCUGGGGACCUUUUAAAUGUGCUUUGGCUAAAUAAAAAGUAUUAGACUGUUUCAGAGCCAAAAGGUC